rnacentral:lncRNA from 1 species
UACUUCUCCGCACAAACUUGUUGAUGACAUGUUUUCACUCUUACUCGUUCAGGCUGGAAAGGUUGGCAACGGAGAACCAGGUGCUGCAAGAGUGACGAGUCCAGAGGAAGCAGAUGAAGCUAAGCGGAAAGAGAAACUUAAACGAGGACGAGAGGUAAUAAACGUGUGAAGCAACAAUAAUUGGAGAAUUGAACGAUCGGUCUAGAUUGUCAGCUUCUUGUAGAGAGUGAUAAAUUGAUGAACUCUUGGAUUGAAUUCUUGCAUGAAUUUUCAAUAUUCCAGCUGCUCAUUGUUUUGCUAGAUGCCUAAGAUGCAAUAUGCCUGCUCAUCGUUCACUAAUAUUGAGGAAUCAAAUAAUUAGGUACAACAAAAAAUUAGGUACAACAUCAAUUGUUAUGAAAAAUUAAGGAUUCUUGCUUACUCUCAAUCAGAAUCUAAGACCAGACAGAGAUUCACUGAGGUUAGGAGUACAACAAGAGGAGUCCAGGAAUUUCUAUGGGGAUUCAUCGAC